rnacentral:lncRNA from 1 species
UGGCUAAUCAGAAUAACAACAGUGUUUCCAAUAGGAUUUAUUAAGACAACACAGAGCUAUACACAAGUUUAGACGUUUAGAAUCUGAAUUUAUAUUUUCGUUAGUCAGACACACAAACACUGCUUAUUCAACAACAACUACGAACAAUAUAUUUAAUCUUAUAAUUAAAUCUUAAAACCCUAAAGACUAAAACUAACACAAGCAGGUUAUAACUAAAUAUAAAAAACCCCCUCAGAUCCCCUGCCUCCGGCAUAGACCCAAGAAUGCUUGCGGCGUUUCCCCUUUGCACCGCCAGACUCAACCUCUGAGCAAAGAAGGAACCGGCUAUUUGGUGACACCUUUUUAAUAAAAUUUUUGGACAAGUUUAGAAAAAUAGUCUUUAUGUAUUAAUGUGGUCUAGUAACACUAAUGCCAUAGGACACGGCAAGGAAGUGAAGAAGUGGCAGCAUGGGCACACAUUGGGCAGACACAAUAACGUCUCUGACAAAGACCACUGCAGGCUAGCAUGCACCGGGCCCAGGAUUGAGUGGCGUGAAGAACACUGGUAAAGAAUGGCCUCAUUCGUCAUGUCCCUCAGCCACAAGGAUACAACAAAGAAGAAGAGAAUUAUUCUUCUAAAAUUUACUUCUGCAGCUCAUUAAUUUCCAUUUUCGACUCUGCUACUUUUUCAACCGGCCGCUUUCAUUUUGGUUUACCUAUAACAAAGUAAUGUUUUAGAAUAGUACUGCAUAAAAACAAUAAAAAAAUUGUUCACAAA